AUUGAACGCUGGCGGCAGGCCUAACACAUGCAAGUCGAACGAGUGGCGGACGGGUGAGUUAUGUCUGGGAAACUGCCUGAUGGAGGGGGAUAACUACUGGAAACGGUAGCUAAUACCGCAUACCAUCGGAUGUGCCCAGAGGGGAUUAGCUAGUAGGUGGGGUAAAGGCUCACCUAGGCGACGAUGCCUAGCUGGUCUGAGAGGAUGACCGGCCACACUGGAACUGAGACACGGUCCAGACGCCUACGGGAGGCAGCAGGGGGGAAUAUGGGACAAUGGACGAAAGCCGGAUGGAGCAAUGCCGCGUGUGUGAAGAAGGCCUGAGGGUUGUAAAGUUCUUUCAGCAGAGAGGCGUUACCCGCAGAAGAAGCACCGGCUAACUCCGUGCCAGCAGCCGCGGUAAUAC
rnacentral:rRNA from 1 species